AUGUCGUCGGACUACUCGUCGUCGUGGGCGCGCGCGCUCGUGCAUAUCUCGCCCUACACCUUCUCCGCCAUCGGCAUCGCCGUCUCCAUCGGUGUCUCUGUCCUCGGCGCAGCAUGGGGGAUCUUCAUCACGGGGAGCAGCCUCAUCGGGGCCGCCAUCAAGGCGCCCAGGAUCACCUCCAAGAACCUCAUCAGUGUCAUCUUCUGUGAGGCCGUUGCAAUUUAUGGUGUAAUCGUGGCGAUCAUCCUCCAAACAAAGCUUGAAAGUGUGCCAACAUCCCGAAUGCAUGAUCCAGAGUCUAUGCGAGCUGGUUAUGCAAUCUUUGCCUCAGGUCUUAUUGUCGGCUUUGCUAAUCUUGUUUGCGGGGUAUGCGUGGGAAUAAUCGGAAGCAGCUGUGCACUGUCUGAUGCCCAGAAUUCAACACUCUUUGUAAAGAUCCUGGUGAUUGAGAUCUUUGGCAGUGCUUUGGGCCUCUUUGGAGUGAUCGUGGGCAUAAUCAUGUCAGCUCAAGCAACAUGGCCAACAAAAGUCUAA
rnacentral:rRNA from 1 species